GGGCCUGUGGAGCAGCCUGGAGUGCUCGCGACCCUGUCAAGGUCGAGGUCGGGGGUUCAAAUCCCCUCAGGCCCG
rnacentral:tRNA from 1 species